rnacentral:rRNA from 1 species
CAGUAGCCACGGUAAUACAGAGGAUGCAAGCGUUAAUCGGAAUUACUGGGCGUAAAGCGCACGCAGGCGGUUUGUUAAGUCAGAUGUGAAAUCCCCGAGCUUAACUUGGGAACUGCAUUUGAAACUGGCAAGCUAGAGUCUUGUAGAGGGGGGUAGAAUUCCAGGUGUAGCGGUGAAAUGCGUAGAGAUCUGGAGGAAUACCGGUGGCGAAGGCGGCCCCCUGGACAAAGACUGACGCUCAGGUGCGAAAGCGUGGGGAGCAAACAGGAUUAGAUACCCCUGUAGUCCCUGUCUCUUAUAC